CCACCUGUCGAACAAUGCGUGAACGGUUAUCGUGAUUAGCAGGUCAAUUGGCAACAACGCUGCUACAAGAAGGAGGGUCAAUGGGUUAGGAACGCAGGAAAAAACAGCUAUCCCAGUUUCAUUUGUCUGACAAGCCAACUGGUGUAACUGUUCCAUUGAUUUGCCCGGGUCAUCUUUGCUUCUUUAAAUGGAAGAAUCCUUUGUUCAGGAUAAUAUAAUGGCUUACAAAGCUUUUCUACAGAAUCUAUUGUUUCAGGUAAAGCUGAGAAGUAAAAUUGUGCUCCUCUGUUUUAAUUAUGAAUUGUGGAUGCAGACAGUUGAAAGGUUACGUACAAUUCAGUUGGAGAAAGCAUUUAUAAGUCUACGGAGGAGGGGUUUCAUCGCUUGGAGUGCUGAUUUCUAUUGAAGCAAUCUUCAAAGAGAUUUCCAACCACCUGUUGCCCGACCAGACGUAUCAAAAGCAUCCAAUCAACAGAAGCACGUUAAAAAGAGGCCACUCAAAUUAAUCUAUCAGCUGAGAACCUGAAGAAUUAACAUGACUGAAGCCAGAUUCAACCAUAUACGAGUUUGGGAAUGCAAUUGAACAGCAUUGAUAUUCAUCGACCCCUAAUUAUAUUACGUCGACCACUUUGAUGAUCCCUGGGGUCUAGACAAACAACAGUCUCUCUGAACGCGUCACAAACAAUUCCAUGAAAUACAGAGCUACUAAAGAGUCAAGAAAACUCCUGUCUCUCACGUUGCAGGCAUUUCAGAAGAUUCUGCACCGCGUCCAACUGAAUAACUGUCCAAAAACACGAGCGUUGGAGGGUCCAACAAACCCAGCCAUGUACUUCAUUCAGCUAACGAGCCUGCGGUCCAAGAAUGCCGGCAAAAAAUACGUGCCAACAUUCCAAAAUAGUUUUCUCGUACUAUGUAGUAUUCCAGUGUACAGGCAAAUAUAUUCCUCGCCGAGUUAAUUUUACGUGGCGGUCUUCGAAAUAGCGACGCAGCGUUAUAUAAAUGGCUCGCCGCUCUCUGGCUAGUACUCGCAGUUUGACCAGAAAUUAAUGAAAAUCGAGCUGGCCAACACGUUUCUGUUAUUAGCAGAAGAUUUUACCAAGGCUUCUUCUGCCAUUGGUUAAUGCCACCCUUAAAAGUCACCCUUAGUUCACAGGAAGCUAUUAAAAAGCGACGAAUGACUAAUCAUCCAUAGGACAUCACCAGUAAAUAACAACAGUACUUUCUAUUCACACUGAACAAUUAAAUAGCAAUUAGUGGAUAAACAACUGUGUCACCUUAGGACAAUGAAAGCGGAGCAGCAAAAACCAGUAAUUCUUUAGAAAGAAACUUGCCCAGGCGUGAAAGCCUCAUCGUCACCAGCUGCCUUCAAAGCGAAACUUCAACUUCACUCGAUUCACUGAAGCUCACCAGUCACUCAGAGAUUCGAUCCCGUCGUCCAGCAACAUUUUGCUUCUCUGAUAGGUUUACCGAACGAAUUUCAAACGCGUCUCGAUGGGACCACUCAUCCCGGAGGGAUCGCCGCUAUGGAAACGAACGGAGGCGAAAAGCACGAAGGUUGCGAAUAACCGGUGGAAAAGCUGAGCUCAAAGUCAAAGACUGGACUAACGAACACGCUAAAGUUAGCCGAGACGUGUAUCGAAAAUAGUUCGAAACACGGAGGUGGAGGUCAUUACGUUAUCCCACCUCGGCUUCUAUGUCUCUCCCUCCACUUUGCUAGGUGCUAAGAAGCGGAUUGACUCGGUCCCACUUGCAUCCUGCUCGUUACAUUUCAUCUAUACAUGAGUACAGAGUACACUGAAUCAUCCAAACGAAAACAAUCUGUCAAAUCAUUUCUCUUAACGCCAGAUGCAGAUCCAAAUACAGCUGCAAAUGGAAUGUGUUCCUUUCCUGAGAGAGAUUUUCCGAUGAAUGGAUUUCACUGAUUCUAGCUGUAGUUCAAACUGUGUUACUAGGUGAACAGGACUGUCCUCUAACGUUUCAUGUCCAUACGUGAUACAGGAACACCACCUCCGCGAUUAGGUCGAGGACGUUGGACUGGUGUCCUACACAGGUUCUUUCCUAUCUCUACAUCUACCUUAAUGUUCAACUAAUGGAUUGGAAAUGAAAUUUUAAAUUUAGGAGGAGAAUUGUAGCAACGUUCCUUUGAUAGUUUUCAAGAGUCAACUUCUGCCACUUUUCAUUACUUCCAAGAAAGAAGACCUCUGUCUCAUCAGGUGUCUCUUAUAAAAUACACAGUCAUCUAUGAAGCUUUGGAAUCAGAAUGAUCAAGAUGAAAACACCUUAGAAAUGUUUCUAACAAAAUUGGAAAGGUAAAAAGGAAAAGACAGAUUCUCUGUCGGUAUUGUCAAAUUCGCCAAGUGGUGGGUGAAAAGUGAACCUUGCCAGUCCACGAAUUAGGAAGCUUAUCCUGUAGCUUAUAAUAAAUCUGCUCGUUCAUACGAGGAUCGCGAAAUACGUGAGUCACGCCGCUUUCGAAGGUGAUUUUGGCCUGCCUACACGCUGAACAAGCGUCGCAGGUAAAACCGCGUGAACAGUCAUCGCGACGUGGGUCGUCGUGGGCGUCUUUCCAACAGUACGCUACGAAACACCCUUCCCCACUUGGCUAUUGUCCUUAGAAGAUCAACCUGGCCUGACAAUCUCAUGAAAAGCUUCCUAUCUAUCAAUCAAAUGUUUUCAAUUAAUCCUUCAACGCUUAUAAAAUCGAUACACGUUACUUGUUCGCUUAACCAUUUUGAAUUUUGCCGCCAAGAAUUUAACACUAAAUUCCCGGACAAAUAGAUCCGUCAAAAUAGGUAUAGGAUUUUUGGAACUAGGGAAUUAGUAUUUCUAUACAUUUCAUGAUUCUAUUAAAAACCAACAUAUGUUUUUAAAAAAAUUAUUUAGAGUCAAAUUGGAUUACUCCGGUAAUCUAGUGUUAAAUAACGCGCAUGCGCCAAUAGGCUCAACAUCUACCGCGAUAGUGCGCGCAAUGGGUCAACUACAUUUUAUUAUUUCUCGUGAGAAAGGUAUCGAUAGUAUGUAAAUUAUUACAACAUGAAGCUGUAAAACAUUCCAGGUUAAUGGUGCGCACCAAGCUCGAGUGCGCAUGCGCAUGCGCAUAUACAAAUUCAUAACGAUCAGUGAAGAAUUUUUCAAAAUUUACAGCGAGGAAAGAAUAAUAAUUAAAGAAUCAAAAUUAAAUAAUAAAUAAAGAAUAAUUCAUCGUUGGAGUAAUAUUAUUCGUACUAGAAUUUAAUCAUAAGAUGCAUAUGUUCCUAGUGUAAAGGUUAGGACGACUAUCAGGAGGUAUGGACCAAGUGUCUAACGAUCGAACGAACAACGCGAGGAACGUGGCUGGAAAACGGGUCUUCGAUAUUUAAAAUUCACCACCGGCGCCUGUACACGAGAACUGGGACUCGGCUGGCUUACGUAACAGGCGAUUCGAACGAAUGUUUCGGAUGCCUAUUGUGUUCGUAACAUGAUCAGAGAACAGCAGCUGAGUCUUAUCAAUUGACGACUACCGGAGGAUCCCGCCCUGCGAGUUCUAUGACUCAUCAACUUCAGGAAACUCGUUAUCGCCAGACUAGGAAUUAAAAACGCAUUAUAAAAAGACCCUAGCGGUUCCAGGAAUUUUGAUUUCUAAUUACCAUAACACAAUCGCUUUACACGUUAACCUCAAAACUGAAUCUCUAAACCUAAUGGGAAAUUCUUAGCCCAAUGGGAGAAUGUAUUGUGCAAGGUAUCAAUUUUAUAGAGAACGAUGAUCGUUAAUAAUCGCGUCGUACCAGUUUUGGUCUUGACAUUCGUCCAAAGAUAAUCGUCGAAGACAAGAAACGUUUCGGGCACCGUUCCAAGAAUGGAAGGAUCGGAUACACGUUGCUUUCGUUGCUUCAAUCAUACAUAUAAAUUAGUAUCUCACUUUUCUUAGCAGUGCAAGUAGGAAACAGGUGUCUUUAGAACAUCGCGCGUUAAUUAUACUGUGAGAAGUUUCCACCUGGACCGAAGAGAAGGAGGUAAUGAAAGAAGCAGAAUUUGCAAACUGGAUUUCCUUCUCAGAUAAACGAAGAAAGGAAAACAGGAUUUCUGAAGUAGAUAAUGUUCGCCAUAGUGCUUUAUAUUCUUAAUGCAUUUUAUAGGUACAUUUUAUCAAAAAAAAAAAAUCUUAACAUGUAUACAGUAGAUACCUUUAGCAGAAAGCAGACCCAGAAGAUACUAACCCAGGAAACGCAUCGCAUUUUCCUUCCUUUAUCCAAGCAAGGAAUUAUCGAUCCACGGGCUAUCUACAGAUUAACCCUUUAACUGCGGGUGUGGUUUAUAAACCAGAUACUAAAAUUAUAGCCAGAGGCGGGUAUAUAAACAAAAUGUUCAUUUUUGAUAAUAUCAUAUAGCGACUGUGGCUUAUAUACCACUAAAAUAAAAAUAAAGGAAACUAAAGUGAACUAGAGCGAGAUUCGCCCUAGAGCCAACUCUUUUUUGGGCCAUUUCCGGUCAGAUCGAAAGUAGGAAAAAAAGAUUUUUUUUGGCCAUUCGUUGAGAUUUUGACUCACUAAAUACAAUGACGCAAGAAUAUUUUUGAUAACUCAUAAAAGUGACAGGGAGUCUAAAUGCUAUAGGCCCCUUAUCAAGAUUUUUAAUCUUAGAAACGGCUUGGCUAAUAAAAAAGAAAUCUUAAAAUAAAAUAUCACUUCAGUAAUAUAAUUUAAAAUUAGAGCGA